UGGGAAUAAAAGCAUUUAGAGACAUGAGUUGAAAAUGCCAGGCAAAAGUAUUCAAAAUGUAGACAUAUCAAGUCAGGAUGGGAGAACUGAAACCAGGAAACUGAGCAAUCAGAAUAAGACAUUGGAAGCAUCAGAGCAGGAGGUAAGUGGUGAUCUGAAGAAAAAGAAAAGGG
rnacentral:lncRNA from 1 species